UACGUAGGGUGCGAGCGUUGUCCGGAAUUAUUGGGCGUAAAGGGCGCGUAGGCGGUGCGGUAAGUCUCUUGUGAAAUCUCCGGGCUCAACCCGGAGCCUGCAAGGGAAACUGCCGUGCUUGAGUGUGGGAGAGGUGAGUGGAAUUCCCGGUGUAGCGGUGAAAUGCGCAGAUAUCAGGGAGGAACACCGAUGGCGAAGGCAGGUCUCUGGGCCACUACUGACGCUGAGAAGCGAAAGCAUGGGGAGCGAACAGG
rnacentral:rRNA from 1 species